AGAGUUUGAUCAUGGCUCAGGAUGAACGCUAGCUACAGGCUUAACACAUGCAAGUCGAGGGGAAACGAUAUUGGAAGCUUGCUUCCGAUAGGCGUCGACCGGCGCACGGGUGAGUAACGCGUAUCCAACCUGCCCACCACUUGGGGAUAACCUCGCGAAAGUAAGACUAAUACCCAAUGACGUCUCUAGAAGACAUCUGAAAGAGAUUAAAGAUUUAUCGGUGAUGGAUGGGGAUGCGUCUGAUUAGCUUGUUGGCGGGGUAACGGCCACAAGGCUACGAUCAGUAGGGGUUCUGAGAGGAAGGUCCCCCANAUUGGAACUGAGACACGGUCCAAACUCAUACGGGAGCA
rnacentral:rRNA from 1 species